UAGGGAAUCUUCGGCAAUGGACGAAAGUCUGACCGAGCAACGCCGCGGGAGUGAAGAAGGGUUUCGGAUCGUAAAACUCUGUUGUUAGAGAAGAACAAGGACGUUAGUAACUGAACGUCCCCUGACGGUAUCUAACCAGAAAGCCACGGCUAACUACGUGCCAGCAGCCGCGGUAAUACGUAGGUGGCAAGCGUUGUCCGGAUUUAUUGGGCGUAAAGCGAGCGCAGGCGGUUUCUUAAGUCUGAUGUGAAAGCCCCCGGCUCAACCGGGGAGGGUCAUUAGAAACUGGGAGACUUGAGUGCAGAAGAGGAGAGUGGAAUUCCAUGUGUAGCGGUGAAAUGCGUAGAUAUAUGGAGGAACACCAGUGGCGAAGGCGGCUCUCUGGUCUGUAUCUGACGCUGAGGCUCGAAAGCGUGGGGAACAAACAGG
rnacentral:rRNA from 1 species